CAUGCAGUCGACGAUGAAGCCCUUCGGGGUGGAUUAGUGGCGAACGGGUGAGUAACACGUGGGCAAUCUGCCCUGCACUCUGGGACAAGCCCUGGAAACGGGGUCUAAUACCGGAUAUGACCGUCCAUCGCAUGGUGGAUGGUGUAAAGCUCCGGCGGUGCAGGAUGAGCCCGCGGCCUAUCAGCUAGUUGGUGAGGUAGUGGCUCACCAAGGCGACGACGGGUAGCCGGCCUGAGAGGGCGACCGGCCACACUGGGACUGAGACACGGCCCAGACUCCUACGGGAGGCAGCAGUGGGGAAUAUUGCACAAUGGGCGAAAGCCUGAUGCAGCGACGCCGCGUGAGGGAUGACGGCCUUCGGGUUGUAAACCUCUUUCAGCAGGGAAGAAGCGAAAGUGACGGUACCUGCAGAAGAAGCGCCGGCUAACUACGUGCCAGCAGCCGCGGUAAUACGUAGGGCGCAAGCGUUGUCCGGAAUUAUUGGGCGUAAAGAGCUCGUAGGCGGCUUGUCACGUCGGUUGUGAAAGCCCGGGGCUUAACCCCGGGUCUGCAGUCGAUACGGGCAGGCUAGAGUUCGGUAGGGGAGAUCGGAAUUCCUGGUGUAGCGGUGAAAUGCGCAGAUAUCAGGAGGAACACCGGUGGCGAAGGCGGAUCUCUGGGCCGAUACUGACGCUGAGGAGCGAAAGCGUGGGGAGCGAACAGGAUUAGAUACCCUGGUAGUCCACGCCGUAAACGGUGGGCACUAGGUGUGGGCAACAUUCCACGUUGUCCGUGCCGCAGCUAACGCAUUAAGUGCCCCGCCUGGGGAGUACGGCCGCAAGGCUAAAACUCAAAGGAAUUGACGG
rnacentral:rRNA from 1 species